rnacentral:lncRNA from 1 species
AUGCAAAACAUAUCUAUUAUCUAUUUCAAUUUAGGUAUUGUAACUUCAAAACCAAACUUGACUAAGUUGGAAAACUUGAAGGCCUGCAGGCAUCAGCUUCUCUGUAUCCUGUCUUGCGUCACAGCACCGAGCCACUGGGGAGCUGACCGUCAACUGCUGAGCCUCGGCAUGGGCCACCCACCACGAAGCAUUGACCCAACCUGCUCUUCUAUGAAUAGCACACUUUGUUCCAGUGGAUUUCCAUUUUCUUCAACUCCAAACCCACAACAAUCAAUACUUUAUGCAAGUUUAGACAUCUUCAAGAGAGCAUCCCAUUCUACACAGCUUUGAAAUGCUUUACCAGUUCUGCCUAAGAUGAGGACUUUCGGAGUGAAAAUAACAGCAUUUAACUUGAGCAUUUACAAAACAUGUGGAGACAUUUCUACACUUCAUCUUUUUAUUGAAGCCUUAAAGAAUCCUUAAAGACCCACUCUGUUGAGAAUUGGGUUUUUGGUGUUUAACAUCUUCUUGUGGCAUUUUUCUGAUGACAAAGGCCAUAUCUAAAGAAUUUAAGAUUAAAAUUACAUUUCCGAGUAUUUCUUUAUUUGUGAAUCAGGAUCAGACGAAAAAGUGCCAUUGGAAAAAGGAAAAUAUAGUAAAAAAUAUGGUGGGCCACAAGUUUCCUGCUCUGCUCCAUCCUGAUGCAUUCACCUACAGAAGUGAAACAGUGAUCCCAAUUUACUUCUGUGUAUUUAGCUAAAGUCAAAAGUGACACCUUGACUGAUAUAGAACAUUUUUCUAAAUUAGGAACCAUAUUUAAGCUCGUUCAAUAAGUGGACAGGGAUUCGUUAGAGCAGAAGUCUCAGGUUCAAGUUGCGUCACUGUUACGUCAUCUCUUCAGUUUUCCGUGGGGCAGCAGUUUCUCGCGCUCUCUCUACUCAACUCUCUCUAAGCCCUAAAGAGAAAAGCGGCAGCUCAGAACCCCCUGUAUUACAAGAAAAUGGGUUUGAUAGAAUAUGGGGGGUUGUAGCCACAGUUUUUUUUCUUGGAUCUCUAAAAGAAAAAAACCCCAGAGGGUACUAGGGUACUUUUUAUUAUGAGGUAAAAAAGGCAGGUCCCCUAGGGCCCUAUAAGUGCACGUGCCUGGUUCUCACCCAUUCCCAAGCACACGUGGCUUUAACUUCUAGUCAAUUCUAGACUGUGAGUUCUUGGAUGAGUUCAAAAGGUUGACAACCGAAGACAACACACACGUCUUCUUGAAGUUACUUCACUUACUUCUUUCCUAUUGCCUCAGUCUCUCCUUAUGCUUGUGACCCUAAUCACUGUCUCACAUGCACCUCCUCCUCAUCCUCUUCACCGUCUCCCUGUUGCUGUGCAAACUUUGGCACAGAUGCAGAGCAAAGCCAGCUGCCUCCAUACGUCUGAGAGAUACCGGUAUGUCUGAGUUUUUUCAAUGCAAUUGACGACUUCACCUCUCACUCUUUUUCUUCUGUUGAAGCCUUUCUGCUCCACCGCGGCACUUAACCCUGUCCACCUUGACUGGACAAAUAUAUUGGGGCCAGGUAUUCUUGUCUCUACUGUGGAAUUUGAGAUCAUAGUUCUUAUUUUUGUGUGUCUUU